GACGAACGCUGGCGGCGUGCCUAAUACAUGCAAGUAGAACGCUGAAGGAGGAGCUUGCUUCUCUGGAUGAGUUGCGAACGGGUGAGUAACGCGUAGGUAACCUGCCUGGUAGCGGGGGAUAACUAUUGGAAACGAUAGCUAAUACCGCAUAAUAGUAGAUGUUGCAUGACAUUUGCUUAAAAGGUGCAAUUGCAUCACUACCAGAUGGACCUGCGUUGUAUUAGCUAGUUGGUGGGGUAACGGCUCACCAAGGCGACGAUACAUAGCCGACCUGAGAGGGUGAUCGGCCACACUGGGACUGAGACACGGCCCAGACUCCUACGGGAGGCAGCAGUAGGGAAUCUUCGGCAAUGGACGGAAGUCUGACCGAGCAACGCCGCGUGAGUGAAGAAGGGUUUCGGAUCGUAAAGCUCUGUUGUAAGAGAAGAACGAGUGUGAGAGUGGAAAGUUCACACUGUGACGGUAUCUUACCAGAAAGAGACGGCUAACUACGUG
rnacentral:rRNA from 1 species